rnacentral:rRNA from 2 species
UAGGGAAUCUUCGGCAAUGGACGAAAGUCUGACCGAGCAACGCCGCGUGAGUGAAGAAGGUUUUCGGAUCGUAAAACUCUGUUGUUAGAGAAGAACAAGGACGUUAGUAACUGAACGUCCCCUGACGGUAUCUAACCAGAAAGCCACGGCUAACUACGUGCCAGCAGCCGCGGUAAUACGUAGGUGGCAAGCGUUGUCCGGAUUUAUUGGGCGUAAAGCGAGCGCAGGCGGUUUCUUAAGUCUGAUGUGAAAGCCCCCGGCUCAACCGGGGAGGGUCAUUGGAAACUGGGAGACUUGAGUGCAGAAGAGGAGAGUGGAAUUCCAUGUGUAGAGGUGAAAUGCGUAGAUAUAUGGAGGAACACCAGUGGCGAAGGCGGCUCUCUGGUCUGUAACUGACGCUGAGGCUCGAAAGCGUGGGGAGCAAACAGG